AUGAAGGGUAAAUGUCAUUUAUAUUGUGUUAAAAUCCAAAAUCUUCAUAGAAAUGUAAAAACUGAAUGGAAACACCUGAAUGAAGUGGAACCAGAUCUUAUUUUGUUUACUGGAUUGUGUUAUGAUUUAUGCAUUAGGAUAAUCAUCUCCAUCGAUAAUUCACAGAUUAGCUGUUGGACACAACAGACAUCACAGGAUGGCAGUGUAACCUAAUAAACCAGUUGACAACACACUGUUUUUAAUGGACUCGAUAUAAGUGACUGUUUUGUAUGUUCAACACACAAUAAAAACAAUUAAAUGGGAGUUUAGUGGCUUUUAGUACAUGUCUAAAAUCAUAAAAUAUACCGUUCAAUAACACACCAUAACUUCCACAACAUCCCAGCAUAAAUGCUCUCGUGCGUUCACAAGAGAGUGGCGUAUGAUGUAGGACAUAGGCGUAGUGUAAGAUACCAAGGCAACAUCUCAUUUUAAUUUAGUUCAUCUUAGUGUAGGCUACUAAAAUAACUAAAACUGAAAUAAAAAUGUAAAACCUUAAUAUGAAAAAACUGGAAAAACAGUCACUAACUAAUAAGAACCAAAAAAAAAAAAAAAAUAAGACAAAUUUCUAGAUGCUGUAUCGGAUCAAAUCAAGGGCCUCAGAAAUGAUUCAUUUCUAUUCAUUCAAGCGUAAUAGGAUUAAAACACUUGUCUAGAAUCUCCUCAUAAGUUUGAUCCAGUGGCAUCUCCGCGGGUCUCUACAGGCCUGAUGUUCAGAUUGAUGGACCUCAUCAUGAUGAAGCCUCGGCCUAAAACUGCGGGAUUAUUGAGUUCCACCGGGCCGGAGAGCCUUACCUCGUCCUGCAAACCAACACAUCUGUCAUGAGGGCCGUAAGCCUGCUUGACCAACACCCACACAUCUGAGGAGCACCCCAUCGCUCUGAUGCUGGAUUACACACGAGCAAAUGAAGACGGAAGACUCAUCAAACCUGCAAAUCAGGCAGGACGAAAGAAAGAGAAAUACCCAGUUCAGUGAUCUUUACCUCCAAUGCUCAGAUGAUCGCUGGACGUUCAAAGAUAAGAUAAUAAUCAAAUGAUAAAAGGUCACUGUUUUCAUAAAACUGAAAUCUGUUCCACACAUGACAAGAAUAACGUGUCCUUUUUUGAGGCUGUCUUUUUGAAAUAUUAUAUUAUAUAGAGUCGUUCUCACAAAACAGUGUCAUUUGAGGGCUGUAUGCACUGCAAUUACUUAUUAUUAUUAUAAUUAACAUAAUAAUUAAUGUUUUAGAUAGAUAUAACUAUAUGUAGUCUAUAAUGCAAUAUUUAAAAAAUAUUGUUUUUAUGAAAGUUUUUUUUAUGAAUAUAAAACCAUUUCCAGUUUUAAUUCUUUAACAUUUUAAAAGGCUAUUUAACUUUAAAAUGAUGCAAAUUAUAUUAACAACCCUCUACAUUGCGAGUUAAUCACUCGCAUAUGCAACUAAAUGAUGUCCAAUAAUAGCCAUUGGCUAAUGCAUUCAUAGAUUUUACUCACCAGUGUGUGAGUUUGAGGCUGAGUAUAAGUUUAGAACAGAUAUAUUUUCAUUCGCUUACGGAGCGCUUCAGUACGCAUAUGUGCUGUUUUUCAGUUCAUCUCGCUGGAUGCGCAGCGCACCUGUGUUUGUGUAUUUGGCGCACCAUAAACUCUAUGACUUGCGCAAAGUGAGAGAGAGAGAGAGAGUCUUACAUAACAUGCAGAAUUGAUGGGCUACAUGUAAACGAUAUUCUUUGUUGUAUUUUCCUGUCAAAACAACUGAGUUCCUUUGGAAUCUUCAGCUUUUAAGAACUGCAGGUUUCUCCGGUAGUGGGCGGAACUAAUGGGCAAACUACAAUCUCAUUGGCUGGCGCUCACUUAUUAUCGUCCCUGUUUUUAUUUCAGCAAAUCAGUUCGAGCGAACACAGACAAUGUGAUUAAUAUUCACUGAAUAUUAGAUAAGCUUGUUAAUCCUUGGUGCGUU
rnacentral:lncRNA from 1 species